GGACCCGUGGUCUAUCGGUAUGACGCUACCCUUACAAGGUGGAGGCAGAGUGUUCGACUCACUCCGGGUCCA
rnacentral:tRNA from 1 species